rnacentral:lncRNA from 1 species
GGGUUUGUUUCCUAUAUGUCUAUAUUUAUUUUUCAUAACUCCAUGUUCACGGGUUUAUCCUUGUUGUUUUUUUUUGUUUUUUUUAUUUUGAAUUGAUUAUUUUUUAUUGAUCAAUUGAUUAGGUUUUUGAUUAUUUAGAUAAUUAUAGUUUUAGUUGUUUAAUUUUUAUUAAGCGGUUGUUGAACUUUUCAUUGCGUUACAAUUUUGAAGUUUAAAUUCAAUUUAUCUUUCGAAAAUAAUUU